GAUGAAGAACGCAGCGAAAUGCGAUAAGUAAUGUGAAUUGCAGAAUUCAGUGAAUCAUCGAAUCUUUGAACGCACCUUGCGCUCCUUGGUAUUCCGAGGAGCAUGCCUGUUUGAGUGUCAUUAUAACCCCUCAAGCUCAGCUUGGUGUUGGGGCCUGCUGCACUGGCAGCCCUUAAAAUCAGUGGCGGCGCCAUCUGGCUCUAAGCGUAGUAAUUCUUCUCGCUAUGGAGUCCUGGUGGAUGCUUGCCAUCAACCCCCAAUUUUUCUAUGGUUGACCUCGGAUCAGGUAGGGAUACCCGCUGAACUUAAGCAUAUCAAUAAGCGGAGGA
rnacentral:misc_RNA from 1 species